GAUGAACGCUGGCGGCGUGCCUAAUACAUGCAAGUCGAGCGAACAGACGAGGAGCUUGCUCCUCUGACGUUAGCGGCGGACGGGUGAGUAACACGUGGAUAACCUACCUAUAAGACUGGGAUAACUUCGGGAAACCCGAGCUAAUACCGGAUAAUAUAUUGAACCGCAUGGUUCAAUAGUGAAAGACGGUUUUGCUGUCACUUAUAGAUGGAUCCGCGCCGCAUUAGCUAGUUGGUAAGGUAACGGCUUACCAAGGCAACGAUGCGUAGCCGACCUCAGAGGGAGAUCGGCCAAACUGGGACUGAGACACGGUCCAGACGCCUACGGGAGGCAGCAGUAGGGAAUCUUCCGCAAUGGGCGAAAGCUUGACGGAGCAACGCCGCGUGAGUGAUGAAGGUCUUCGGAUCGUAAAACUCUGUUAUUAGGGAAGAACAAAUGUGUAAGUAACUAUGCACGUCUUGACGGUACCUAAUCAGAAAGCCACGGCUAACUACGUG
rnacentral:rRNA from 1 species